AUCUAGCCGCUCAGUAUAUGUGUGUGUCAAGUCGAUCUCCCUUCUUUUUGUUCCCUUCUCCUCUUUUAUAGGCUUCCUCUCCUUGAUGCCCUAAUUUCGGUCUUCUCUGGGCCUUAGUUCGAGGAAGCCGAGUAUACGGGCCUGGGUGAAGUUCCUCCGAGCCGGGUGCUUUUGGUCGGCUUUGCCAACGGCUAAAAACACUCUAG
rnacentral:lncRNA from 1 species